rnacentral:rRNA from 1 species
GACGAACGCUGGCGGCGUGCUUAACACAUGCCAGUCGAACGGAAAGGCCCUGCUUUUGUUGGGUGCUCGAGUGGCGAACGGGUGAGUAACACGUGAGUAACCUGCCCUUGACUUUGGGAUAACUUCAGGAAACUGGGGCUAAUACCGGAUAGGAGCUCCUGCUGCAUGGUGGGGGUUGGAAAGUUUCGGCGGUUGGGGAUGGACUCGCGGCUUAUCAGCUUGUUGGUGGGGUAGUGGCUUACCAAGGCUUUGACGGGUAGCCGGCCUGAGAGGGUGACCGGCGACAUGGGGACUGAGAGAGGGACCAGACGCCUACGGGAGGCAGCAGUGGGGAAUAUUGCACAAUGGGCGGAAGCCUGAUGCAGCAACGCCGCGUGCGGGAUGACGGCCUUCGGGUUGUAAACCGCUUUCGCCUGUGACGAAGCGUGAGUGACGGUAAUGGGUAAAGAAGCACCGGCUAACUACGUG